UACGAAGGGGGCUAGCGUUGUUCGGAAUUACUGGGCGUAAAGCGCACGUAGGCGGACAUUUAAGUCAGGGGUGAAAUCCCGGGGCUCAACCCCGGAACUGCCUUUGAUACUGGGUGUCUUGAGUAUGGAAGAGGUAAGUGGAAUUGCGAGUGUAGAGGUGAAAUUCGUAGAUAUUCGCAGGAACACCAGUGGCGAAGGCGGCUUACUGGUCCAUUACUGACGCUGAGGUGCGAAAGCGUGGGGAGCAAACAGG
rnacentral:rRNA from 1 species